rnacentral:lncRNA from 1 species
UGUGGUAUAAUAAAAUACAUGGCCAUGGAAUAUUUGGAGAUAAUAUCAUUUUAUCAAAAAGACAACAAAUUUUACACUGGCAUAACAGAUUUAAGUCCAUCAUACUAAUAGGAGAGCCAUGUUAUUAAAUUGUUAAUUGAGAGGCAGGGGCGUUUUAUUUGGAGAAAAUCACACAUGAGGAUAAACGUUUGUAUUGACCAAAGGAUUUCAUGUACAAAAAUGUAUAAGUAUAUCAGUAUAUAUAGACAUCUCUAUUAGUGAUCAUAUAUGAAUUCUUCAAGUGUGCAUCAAGAAUUCUUCUUAUGAAAUCUCAAAAACAAAAUAAAUACGACAGCAGAUGUCCAACCCUGAAAAGUUGGGACCAAAAUGGACACAAUAUUCAGGCUUGAUACAGGUCUAAAUUUG